rnacentral:rRNA from 1 species
AUACGGAGGGUGCAAGCGUUCUUCGGAAUCACUGGGCGUAAAGGACGCGUAGGCGGGUUGGCAAGUCAGAUGUGCAAUCCUACAGCUUAACUGUAGAACUGCAUUUGAAACUGCUAACCUAGAGUAUGGGAGGGGGAGAUGGAAUUAGUGGUGUAGGGGUAAAUCCGUAGAUAUCACUAGGAAUACCGAAAGCGAAGGCGAUCUCCUGGAACAUAACUGACGCUAAGGCGUGAAAGCGUGGGGAGCAAACAGGAUUAGAAACUCUUGUAGUCC